AUGCGAGACUUUGUUCGUCGUCGCGUCCACUGAAGCAACCGUCCACGAUGCCACAGCUCGAUUCUCGAAUGCCCGAGAAGCGGCUCUCGAUGCUAUCUCUUUGGUGGUCUCUCUCUCACGGGUCGAAUCGAUUUUAUAAUCGAGGAUGAGAAAGGAUGAAUGAUUGUUAGGGAAUGGAUUGGAUUCUUUCCAUCUUUUUUCUUCUCUUUAUCCGUGGUUUAGUUUUUACGCCAAACGGUGAAAUUGGAAGAAGCUGUGAUUUUUCAAAACUUUGAAUUUAUUUUCACCGAAAGAUGAGCUGAAUUAAAGAUCGAAUACCGUGUCGCAACGUAAUGAAAGCAUAAAUGGAUAUUUAUAUUUUUUAAUUGUAAAAAUGUCAAUGUUGAUGUAGUUCGAUCUAAUGGAUGGAAAAUCGACGAGAAAAUUAAAAAGAAACCGGUUUCAACCCGUGAAUGAUCAAUAAUUUUAGAUUGAUUAUAUUGAAUAUACUGGAUUGUUUGAAGCAUUGAUCAAUGAGUUGUUGAUCAAGGUAAUCUGUUCGCACUUUUACUGGAGGAAGUAAAAUACUAAUUGCAAUAGAAACUGAUAUCACAUUUAAUAUAACGAUAUAUCAUUUUUGUUUAAAUAGAUUUAGACGUAUUUAAACGUAAUUCUAAGUGUUAUUUAAUUUUAAUUAGAUUAUAUAUUCAAGUAAAAAAACAACGGAAAAAUUAAUUACAUAUUGAUAUAUCUAUUUUAAAUUAUAAUUAUAAAACAAAUAUAUCUAUAAAAUAUU